GGAUGUGAGGGCGAUCUGGCUGUGACAUCUGUCACCCCAUUGAUCUCCAGGGUUGAUUCUGCUGAUCUGGCUGGCUAGGCGGGUGUCCCCUUCCUCCCUCACCGCUCCAUAUGCGUCCCUCCCGAAGCUGCGAGCGAGGUCGAAGAGGACGACCUUCCCAGAUAGAGAAGAGGACCGUUCUUCGGUCAAGGGUAUACGAGUAGCUGCGCUCCCCUGCUAGAACCUCCAAACAAGCUCUCAAGAAAAGGGAGGGAAAACUAAAUGGGAAGAAAUUUAAACGUUUUUUAAUAAGUGAAAAUGAAACAACAUUU
ensembl:misc_RNA 7SK 7SK RNA